GGUGGAAGAAGGUUGAAUUUACUCUCAGCUUGACCUCUUGAUCUGGACUUUGAUCUUCUCCUAUACUCUGUGUUUCUGGUUCUCAGGCUUUCCGAUCAGACCUGGCAUAUAUACCAUUGGCUCUCAAACUCUCAGCCCUUUGGACUUCAUCACCAGACUCCCUGCUUCUCUAGUUCAAAGAUGGCAGAUCACGGGACAUCUCAACCUCCAAAAUCGUCUAGGCCCUGGCAUGGCUUAAGAGUUUCUGCCCAAAGGAUUAUGGAACAGAUGAACUAUGCUAUAGUCAUACAUACGUAUCAGUUGAAUGUCCUUGACCCAGCAAAUGAAUGAAUACCCUUGAUUACACUUCUGCCAAACUUAAGCCGCAUUUAACAAAUAGAUACAACAUGAAACAGUAAAAAAAAAAAAAAAGAAGAAUGAGAGAGAGAGACCAGAGAGCAAGAUCAAGGAAAGAACAAGGUCCACAUUUGAAUGCUAGUUACUUAGAAGUCACAGAAAUGCAUUAAUUAUUAGCCAACACGGGCAAUUCUUAACUAAAGGUAGGUUGGUAAAUUACAUUCUUAGAG